GCCUGGGUGGCUCAGUCAGUUGAGCAUCUGACUUCGGCUCAGGCCAUAAUCUCACAGCUCGUGAGUUCAAGCCCCGCGUCAGGCU
rnacentral:tRNA from 1 species